AUACGUGAUAAUCUAAGCAAUGCUUCAGCUGUCAGAAAGGAAUAUUCAUCUCAACCGCACCUAUAGAUUAGAUUUAUUGACAGAGGUGGAAAAAAAGGAAAUACAUAGGUUGUUGUUAUUUUGCUCAAAUUUCAGUAACUAACGUUUAGCAACUUAUGCAGCUGCUGCUGCUUUCUUGAGAGCAAAGAGAAUAAAGAGUUAUUGAGAAGCGGGACCAAUACUUGCAGCCUUAUUAAGUAGGUGAACCUCAGAUCUAAAGAGCUUUAAGCAACUAAACAAAUUGAAAAACAGAAUACUGAAAGCAUGACUUUUAAGAAACGAUUUGCCUGUGGAGUAUCAAUUGAGCGAUUUGAUUGCUUGAGAUUAGAAUAAAUGCAUUAGAAAUAAUCCUUUCUUUUUUAAAAGGAUAAAGAAAUCUGUCAAAGGAUUUCUCUUGAAAGAGGGAGGAUUGAUUACACAUUUUGUUAAUAAUAAAGUCCUAUUUGUUCGUUUGUUGACUUGCAGUGCUUCUACAGGACACGAAUCACGAGAAACAUUUUAAAGUGAGGUUUGAAAUUGUUGGGGAGACAGGUCUAUUCUUUACGGGUAUUAUUCUAUUCAUUUGUCUGAGCCAAUGAGAGAGUGCAUCCUUCGGGCACGCGCAUUAAGGCGAAGGUAAAAUCUACAUUUUAUGGCCGUUUAAAGCACUUAAUUAAAACUAAUGUAUAUCAUAAUUGCAUCAUUAAAACACCAAAGUUUCAUCCCCAAUUUUCUCUUGAAUUUCAUUUUUCACUAAAUUUUCUUCAUCUUUUAUAUUUGAGAUUGGCUUAUUCCUAUAAGUGUCACCAAUGUUUCUACCACAUGUAAUAUUGUGCAACGUGAAAACAAUGACUUUGAAUUUAACUGCGCAUGUGCAUAUGCGGCAAGAUUUUGAAAAGCCAACAAAUGUUGGUUCGUCGCACCAUAGAAAAAAAACAAAAUGACAAUCAACAAUUGCAAAGAGGAUAAGGGAGACUGGAAAAAUUGCGAAAGAACUCUUUUGUAGCAGUGUGCGGCCUUAACAAAUGCUUAGGCACAAAUUUACUUGGCCAAGCAGUGAAAUUGCUGCAGUUGUUGAAUAAAAUCAUUCACAUUUCUUCACAUACGAGUCGAUAGUUCUUGGGUUCAAAUUUCUUGUUCCCUGAAAGACGAUUGUAUUUGCAAGAUUCGAUGAUAGCCAGUUUUUUACAAUUCAUAUCCAUAAAACACCUCAAAACCUUUUCAUAUGAGAAAAGAUUGAUUUAUCUUGAAAAUUUCCUUAUUAUUAAGCGUCAUAGACUGUAUUGAGUAAUUAUAAAUGACCAGCAAAACCAAACUUAUUAAACGUUUCAAUGUUAGCUAGAGGUUUAGAAUUGCAAUGACCUUUCAACUACGUUUGAAACGCACAGGAUAAUAGGGUCUUUAUGCUAGAUUUUUAAAAGCAUACAAAGCAAAGUUUCAAGCUUUGGAGGGUCAUAUUGGCCAUUAGACAUAUGUCUCUCCUAGUUUCUAACGUUACCCAGAAUAUUAAUGAGCAAAUAUCAUUUGUUCAGUGUUGAUUGAAUUCAUUGCACCUGUGAUUAAUGUCUUUAUUUGGCGGGAGUGGGCAACCUACAACCUACAAUCUGGCCCGGGAGGAGAAAUUUUGUUGCCCGUGAGAUGAGGAAAUCAUAUUACAAUUUUUUUGGUUGGCAAGGAUGAUUUCAAGGCGCAUGUGAAUUUCAAGUCGAGGGGUUGGGUAAAAAAUUCUACAGGUCGAGAGAAUGUGUAAAAAAGAAAUAUCAUAAUCAAUUCGCCCGAAAAUCAGAUGAAAGAUGGAAAAUGCUGAAAAUAAAGAGAACAGGGCUGGCAAUGCGAUGAGCAAGAUUCUGCGAGAGUUAAGGAUGCUUGGAAUAAGAACUCCCUGAAAGUAAAUCAAUUGAUGACCUUUAACCUACAAAAUUGUCAAUCAGCUUUGUCCUGAAAGCAUACAAAAUAGGUUCAUAAAAAGGUCCGUCAUAACUUAGAACAUACAAAAAACUAAAGACUAAACUUAGAACAUACAAAAAAAGUUUCUGGUACACAGGUCCAAAAGAUUGAAAUAGUAUCCCCCAAUCUAUUAGAGAUACCAAAUCCAUUUUAUAAUUCAAACAAAAGCUUCAAAAUCACCUUUUGAGCUAACAGACACUAGAUGUAUGAAUCCAUGGAAAAUCAGUUUUUAGAUUAAUUCUAAUGAUGUUCUUAGGGCAUGUACUUUUGGCAUGUAUAAUUAGAUAGAAAUUGUAACUUUUUAUCGCAAUUUACUUUUAUAGAACUGAAUGGUUAUUGUGGAUGAAUAUGAUCAAAUGAAAAAAUGAAGCAAGAUGUGCUAUGAGCAAGAGAAUGAAAAUUAAAGCAAGACAUUGUACAAGAUAUGAUACAGGUUUCAGGUAAUUUUGGUAUGGAAAAGGUUAAAGAGCUGACACAAUAAAAUAAAUAGUAACGAUUCUUUUCCA